GCCGCGGUGGUGGAAUUGGCAGACACGCCAGCCUUAGGAGCUGGUACCCGAAAGGGUGUGAAGGUUCAAGUCCUUUCCGCGGCA
rnacentral:tRNA from 1 species